GCGCCCGUAGCUUAGCUGGAUAAAGCGCCUCCCUGUCACGGAGGAGAUCACCGGUUCGAGUCCGGCCGGGCGCG
rnacentral:tRNA from 1 species